CUGGUGUGUACCUGCCAGGCUAUUACCAGGAAGGCUGGUCUGGGAGGGGCCCUGGGACCCCCAGACAGGCCACAGAACGUGCCCAGCCACUAGCUCGCCAUGAAAGGAAAGACGCU